GCGGAGGCCGCGCCGUGUCGGCCAUCCCGCGCCUCUCUGCCAUUACCCCCGCGUGGAUAAGACCCCCACACCCCUCCUGGAACCCUAGCCUCCCCAAUUCCCCCUCGCCUCGAUCUCUUCUUCCUCGCGCAAGCCGAGUGAGUCCAUCAUCAUGGCCCCGUCGCCUAACACCAAGCCCUCGCCUCGCCGACAUGUCCAGGAGAUCCGCCGUCGUCCUCUUCGUCUUCCUCGCCCACGAGCUCAAGCCCGGAGCCACUGCAGCGGCCGAAUCGACACCAUCUUCUUCCUCGGUCGUUGCCGCAGUUCUUCGUCAAUCCGUCGCCUCUGCAGCUCCUAAGCCACCAACGGGCCUCCAUGUGCCUCCGUGAUGCUGGAGUCCAGGAGCUAGAGAUCCCGAGGAUGAUUCUACAUGGAGUUCGGCUUCGAGGAGUAGUUAGGAGGUCCCAGGCAGGAGGCCUUGCCUUUUCGAUUGUUGCUACUUUUGUGCUAGCCUUGUUAAGGCAAAUUUGUUUAACUUAUGUCUGUACACAGAUAUUGUUGCUUCCGCUGACUCGUCUAUGAUCGAGUACUUGUAUUCGAGCCCUCGAGGCCCCUGACUUGUAUUAUGGUGCUUAUAUGACUUAUCUAUGUUGUAGA